GCGAUCAUACCAGCACUAAUGCACCGGAUCCCAGCAGAACACCACCGUUAAUGUGCUUGGGUGACAGUAGUACUAGUGUGGGUGACCCCGUGGGAAGUCCUCCUCUUGCACCCC